UACAUCCUACGGGAGGCAGCAGUGGGGAAUAUUGGACAAUGGGCGCAAGCCUGAUCCAGCCAUGCCGCGUGAGUGAUGAAGGCCCUAGGGUUGUAAAGCUCUUUCACCGGAGAAGAUAAUGACGGUAUCCGGAGAAGAAGCCCCGGCUAACUUCGUGCCAGCAGCCGCGGUAAUACGCAGGGGGCUAGCGUUGUUCGGAAUUACUGGGCGUAAAGCGCACGUAGGCGGAUCGAUCAGUCAGGGGUGAAAUCCCAGGGCUCAACCCUGGAACUGCCUUUGAUACUGUCGAUCUGGAGUAUGGAAGAGGUGAGUGGAAUUCCGAGUGUAGAGGUGAAAUUCGUAGAUAUUCGGAGGAACACCAGUGGCGAAGGCGGCUCACUGGUCCAUUACUGACGCUGAGGUGCGAAAGCGUGGGGAGCAAACAGGAUUAGAUACCCUUGUAGUCCCA
rnacentral:rRNA from 1 species